rnacentral:rRNA from 1 species
UACCAGCACCCCGAGUGGUCGGGACGUUUUAUUGGGCCUAAAGCAUCCGUAGCCGGUUCUACAAGUCUUCCGUUAAAUCCAGCUGCUUAACAGAUGGGCUGCGGAAGAUACUAUGGAGCUAGGAGCGGGAGAGGCAAGCGGUACUCGAUGGGUAGGGGUAAAAUCCGUUGAUCCAUUGAAGACCACCAGUGGCGAAGGCGGCUUGCCAGAACGCGCUCGACGGUGAGGGAUGAAAGCUGGGGGAGCAAACCGG